CGCGCCCGUGCUCGGUGGAAGGAGUCUCCCGGGAGCAGGUUCCUCUCCCUCUGCAGGGUCAUGCUGCCGCUUCAAAGUCGGGCGUUUCACCCGAUGAGAGAGUCUGUGCAGUAAUUUCCACUCUCUGACUUUGCUUCGCAUAAUCACGUCCAGCUCCAUCCGUGCUGUAGCAAGAGCAAGAUUUCAUCCUUCUGAAAAAAAUCCAUUUGCAGAAGGCCAUGGAUUUUGACACUCAUCAAGCUGGACUUCUACCAAAUGGGCCCCGUGGUCCUCAAACUCUUACUUGUUCACGCUUUGGAAUUUUAAAUCGGAUUUGUUUCAUUGAGCACCGAGGUGAAUGAUAUCAUUUUAACAGAAUUCUCUGAAAAGUAUAAUUGUGUCUGAGUUAAACUGGGAAAGUUGUCUGUAUUGACUGAAAGAAGAAACUUGGAAAAGGCUAAAGUUUGGAAAGCCUUCUGAAUAAUUAAGGAGAAUGACUGCUAAGCCAAGCACCAUAUUCUUAGUUGCACAGUCUAUAGAAAUCGAGAGAGGAAAACAGAUGGGAGUGGAGGUAUAGACUCAAUAUCACUGGGAAUGUCAGAUCAGAAAUUAUUUUGGGACGUGCGGAAGGAGCUUUGUGUGGGAGGAGCACCCGAUGCGGAGCACUCCUGGGAGGUAGGAGACAAAGAAAGCAGAACCGCGUUUGGGGCGGGGAAGCAGGCUUCUGGGGAGGAACUGAUCUUUCUCGAAGCACCGCUCAGACACAUUCGCAAGCCGGAUCGCUCUCGAAGCUUGAGUUUGGGUGGAAAGCCAGACGACGCCUCGCUGCUUCCGCGUGACCUGCUUCCCCUCCCGCGGCUUUGGUGUCCUCGAGGGCUCCCGUUGGUCCAGAUGUCACUCUCCUGGAUUUGUAGCUUCCAGAGGUCACAGAGGCUCUGGGACAGCUCGCGGGGAAGGCGGGAUAAUGGGAGGCUUCCGGCCUGCGCAGCCGUGGGGGGAGCCGGGCCCUGCGUGUGUGUGGUCUGACGGGACGGAGGCGGGCAGGUGAGCGAGGGGCACACACCGCAGGCCGGGGCUUCGGCAUAAAGCCCACGUGGCUCGCAGAGAGGUGCAGAGACCCCAGAAACCCGGGUGGGAGCGGGCGGGAGUGAGCGGCACUGGGGGUCCUGCGGUCAGAGGCCCGUGGUUGCCGGGCUGUUCUCUGAGGGGGGAUGAGCGUCAACUUGUUCGGGAACCGUGGCCGGGCCUGUUUGCUGUGAAGUAUUGUCUGGCCUCUUUGUCAGCCGUUUCCCCACCCCGCUCAAUUGUCGGUAUUGCAAUAAAGAAGCAUGAAUCU